rnacentral:lncRNA from 1 species
AUGGGCAGCACGAACACACCGAGGCCACCGGCACGGGGAUGCACGGCGCCGACAUAGGCGAGAAGAAGGGCGUCAUGGAGAACAUCAAUGACAAGCUCUCUGGUGGCCAUGGGGACCACGAGCAAACUGGUGGCACCUACGGGCAGCAGGGACACACCGAUGCGGCGACGCACGGCGCCUCAACCACCAGCGGCACCUAUGGGCAGCACGAAAACACCGGUACGGGGACACAUGGUGCCCCUGCCACCGAUGGCGCCUAUGGGCAGCAUGGACACACCGGGGCCAUCGGGACGGGGUUGCAUGGCGCCAACACGGGCGAGAAGAAGGGCGUCAAGGAGAACAUCAAUGACAAGCUCCCUGAUGGCCGCGGGGACCACCAGCAGACUGGUGGCACCUACGGGCAACAGGAACACAUCGAUGCGGCGACGCAUGGUGCCUUAGCCACUGGCGGCACCAAUGUGCAGCAAGGAAACACCGGUACGGGGACACAUGGCGCCCCGGCCACCGAUGGUGCCUACGGGCAGCACAAACACACCGGAGCCACUGGCACGAGGAUGCAUGACACCGACACCAGCGAGAAGAAGGGCGUCAUGGAGAACAUCAACGACAAGCUGCCUAGUGGAGACGAAGACCACCAGCACACCGGUGGCAC